UAGCUAUCAGAGAGCACUGGGUCAACACCCUGAAACAACCGCCUCUCACUGAGAGCAAAGCCUCGUACUUAAACCAUUCACACAGAAAUCUUAAGGUAAACAUAUUUCAUGCAAAAGCAAUUGCCAAUUUUUCAUUUUAGAAAAAAAUUAACAGAACAAAAAUCUAAGAAAAUGAAGAGUGAGAGACUGUAGAGGAUGGAGGCCCAAUCAGAAAUAGAGAAAUCUGGAGAAAGAGAAGGCUCAGAUCAGAUAUGCCUUCAAAUUGGACAGGACAGAAACACCACAACAUCUGCGCUGCAACAACAAAAGGUUGCCUUGCCAAGAAAUUGAGUAUUUCUCCUCCAGUCCAACUUUUCAGGCUCAAAGAAU